rnacentral:lncRNA from 1 species
AGAAUGUACCUUAUUUUUUGCGUGAACUGGCUUUAUACCUUGGGUAAAGUGGAAUAGGUUUGAGAUGAGCUGAACAUUGGCUAUUUAGGUCUUUGGUCGACCUAGAACAGUUGCCCCCAAGGCUUUGUCAGGAACAUAAAUAGUCAGGGAAACCUUUGAUAAUUUAUGGCCCGACGGGAGCUAAAACCGAAACGUGUGGAGUCAGUUGAAAACACAGUGGGGG